GUUAAGCGACUAAGCGUACACGGUGGAUGCCCUGGCAGUCAGAGGCGAUGAAGGACGUGCUAAUCUGCGAUAAGCGUCGGUGAGGUGAUAUGAACCGUUAUAACCGGCGAUUUCCGAAUGGGGAAACCCAGUGUGUUUCGACACACUAUCAUUAACUGAAUCCAUAGGUUAAUGAGGCGAACCGGGGGAACUGAAACAUCUAAGUACCCCGAGGAAAAGAAAUCAACCGAGAUUCCCCCAGUAGCGGCGAGCGAACGGGGAGGAGCCCAGAGCCUGAAUCAGUGUGUGUGUUAGUGGAAGCGUCUGGAAAGGCGCGCGAUACAGGGUGACAGCCCCGUACACAAAAAUGCACAUAUUGUGAGCUCGAUGAGUAGGGCGGGACACGUGGUAUCCUGUCUGAAUAUGGGGGGACCAUCCUCCAAGGCUAAAUACUCCUGACUGACCGAUAGUGAACCAGUACCGUGAGGGAAAGGCGAAAAGAACCCCGGCGAGGGGAGUGAAAAAGAACCUGAAACCGUGUACGUACAAGCAGUGGGAGCCUCUUAAUGGGGUGACUGCGUACCUUUUGUAUAAUGGGUCAGCGACUUAUAUUCUGUAGCAAGGUUAACCGAAUAGGGGAGCCGAAGGGAAACCGAGUCUUAACUGGGCGUUAAGUUGCAGGGUAUAGACCCGAAACCCGGUGAUCUAGCCAUGGGCAGGUUGAAGGUUGGGUAACACUAACUGGAGGACCGAACCGACUAAUGUUGAAAAAUUAGCGGAUGACUUGUGGCUGGGGGUGAAAGGCCAAUCAAACCGGGAGAUAGCUGGUUCUCCCCGAAAGCUAUUUAGGUAGCGCCUCGUGAAUUCAUCUCCGGGGGUAGAGCACUGUUUCGGCAAGGGGGUCAUCCCGACUUACCAACCCGAUGCAAACUGCGAAUACCGGAGAAUGUUAUCACGGGAGACACACGGCGGGUGCUAACGUCCGUCGUGAAGAGGGAAACAACCCAGACCGCCAGCUAAGGUCCCAAAGUCAUGGUUAAGUGGGAAACGAUGUGGGAAGGCCCAGACAGCCAGGAUGUUGGCUUAGAAGCAGCCAUCAUUUAAAGAAAGCGUAAUAGCUCACUGGUCGAGUCGGCCUGCGCGGAAGAUGUAACGGGGCUAAACCAUGCACCGAAGCUGCGGCAGCGACACUAUGUGUUGUUGGGUAGGGGAGCGUUCUGUAAGCCUGUGAAGGUGGCCUGUGAGGGUUGCUGGAGGUAUCAGAAGUGCGAAUGCUGACAUAAGUAACGAUAAAGCGGGUGAAAAGCCCGCUCGCCGGAAGACCAAGGGUUCCUGUCCAACGUUAAUCGGGGCAGGGUGAGUCGACCCCUAAGGCGAGGCCGAAAGGCGUAGUCGAUGGGAAACAGGUUAAUAUUCCUGUACUUGGUGUUACUGCGAAGGGGGGACGGAGAAGGCUAUGUUGGCCGGGCGACGGUUGUCCCGGUUUAAGCGUGUAGGCUGGUUUUCCAGGCAAAUCCGGAAAACCAAGGCUGAGGCGUGAUGACGAGGCACUACGGUGCUGAAGCGACAAAUGCCCUGCUUCCAGGAAAAG
rnacentral:rRNA from 1 species